rnacentral:rRNA from 1 species
UACGUAGGGUGCGAGCGUUGUCCGGAAUUACUGGGCGUAAAGCGCGCGUAGGCGGACCUGCAAGUCGGGGGUGAAAGCCCGAGGCUCAACCUCGGAACUGCCUUCCGAUACUGCGGGUCUCGAGUCCGGGAGAGGUGAGUGGAAUUCCUAGUGUAGAGGUGAAAUUCGUAGAUAAUUAGGAAGAACACCAGUGGCGAAGGCGGCUCAGCUGGCCCGGUACUGACGCGUGAGGCGCGAA